rnacentral:rRNA from 1 species
CCUACGGGAGGCUGCAGUGGGGAAUAUUGGGCAAUGGGCGCAAGCCUGACCCAGCAAUGCCGCGUGAAGGAAGAAGGCUUUCGGGUUGUAAACUUCUUUGACAGGGGAAGAGCAGAAGACGGUACCCUGAAAACAAGCCACGGCUAACUACGCGCCAGCAGCCGCGGUAAUACGUAGGUGGCAAGCGUUGUCCGGAUUUACUGGGUGUAAAGGGCGUGUAGCCGGGAAGGCAAGUCAGAUGUGAAAUCUGGAGGCUCAACCUCCAAAUUGCAUUUGAAACUGUUUUUCUUGAGUACUGGAGAGGCAGACGGAAUUCCUUGUGUAGCGGUGAAAUGCGUAGAUAUCAAGAGGAACACCAGUGGCGAAGGCGGUCUGCUGGACAGCAACUGACGGUGAGGCGCGAAAGCGUGGGGAGCAAACAGGAUUAGAUACCCCAGUAGUC